UAAAACAUUCAUUUACUUGACGGUUCCAGUACCCCGAGGCGACUACUCGAUGCUUCCAAAGACAAAAUCCCAAUUCGCAGCAUCCUCUCCAUCGGUUUUGCUCCUCCCCAUCCCUCAGUCAGGCUCCCUCUCUCUUUGUCUGCUAGGGCAUAGAGAAUCCACUGCAUAAAGAGGUAUCAGUCUUUCCAAGUACAUUUCUUCUCCGCGCUUUAAGCACUCUGUUGCGAUGAAAUGUGUCAUCUGAUUCGAUGAUCUCUGAGUAUACUUGAACCGAAUGGUUUGAAAAUUUGUUGCUAAUUGCUUGAUAUCUCUGAUGUAAGCCCCGAUUUCUGAUUUAUCCUCAUUGUUAGACUGACAUUUCUUGAUAAUUACUAACGCAUCUCCUUCUAUUUCAACCUUCCUCGCUCCCAUUUGGAUCCUCAAUCUCACUGCCUGAGUGCAUGCACAAGCCUCAGCAGCAAAAUGGGAUGCAGUCGCCUCUUCUAAAGUUGCUUGCGAGGCCAGAACCUCGCCUCUGUCAUUACGAGCAACCAUUCUCGAUGUUGAUCGGAACAUUUCAUGAUUAUAGGCCGUGUCGAAGUUAAUGCGAAAAAAUCCAGACUCCGGAGGUCUCCAAGUCACACAUAGAAUCUAUUUUUCCAGAUAAUCCAUGUCGCACAACAAAAUAGGUGGCACUGGUAGCUCGAGGCUUUACGAAACACCCAAGUAACCAAUCCCAAAUUUCCAGAUUUACUUCCGAGGUAACCUACUCAAGAUUUAAGUGUUACCAUGCUUCAAUUGAAACAGGGCACUCUCUAAACACGUGGCCUGUAGUCUCCACCCCUCUUUCGCACCGUCGAUAGAUUGUAUUGACCCGAAGCCUUCUGUGUUGUAGGUUAGAUAGGGUUGGUAGAAAAUUCCAGGAAAUUUUCCAUAAUGUAAUUUUUGUUUGGCAGUCUCCACCCCUUUUACCGUGACUUUUUUGCCACCAAAAUUUAGCAAUAAUGUUUUCCAAAUCUCUACAAAGCAAUUUCGACAACAAAAAACACAUCAUAGAAUAAGUCGGAAUGGCUUGUAAAAUAGCUUUGAUAAACACCUCCUUCCCUCUUGAGACACAAAGUGAGUGCUCUAAUUAUCAAUCUUCUACUUGACCCUAUCUUUUAAAAUCUGAAAAGCUAGUCACUUUUAUC